rnacentral:lncRNA from 1 species
GAUGUCUUGAUGGUUACUCCAGACAGUCAUUUUGGGGUUGUGUGUUUGUUCCUCUGACAGUUUUUGGGGUGGUGUGUUCUGGUCUCUGAGAGUCGUUUUUUGGAGGGAAGUUGUUCUGGUCUCUGGAACAGUUCAUUUUGGCGGCUGGCGUUGUUGUCUGGUCUCAGAGUUGUUUUUAGGGUGGUGUGUUCUGGUCUGACAGUCGUUUUUGGAGUGGUUGAGCGUUCUUUCUGGUCUCUGAGAGUCGUUUUUGGGGUAGUGUGUUCUGGUCUCUGAGAGUUGUUUUUGGGGUGGUGUGUUCUGGUCUCUGGGAGUCGUUUUUGGGGUGGUGUGUUCUGGUCUCUGGAGUCGUUUUUGGGUGGGUUGUUCUGGUCUCUGGGAGUCGUUUUUGGGGUGGCGUGUUCUGGUCUCUGGGAGUCGUUUUUGGGGUGGUGUGUUCUUGGUUCUGGGAGCGUUUUGUGGUGGCGUGUCUUUGGUCGUCUGAGAGUCCGUUUUGGC